ACAGAGAGAAAAGAAAACCACAAACCAUUUCUUGGCUGGUUUGAAGAAAUUCUAAGGAGAUCCAAGUGAAAGCAAAGCCAAAGAAGUAGAUUAAGCUUAGUUCUAGCCUUUUUAUGGUAAGUUCUUGUACUUGGAAGUUAAACCAUGUUUUUGAAUUUUUCUGAGAGCUUAUAUAUGGUGUUUUAUCCUUUUUAAGAUAUUUCUUGGGGUUUCCAAGUGGUUUGAGGUUUAGAAAAGCUUGAAGAGAUUGUUUUCGCCGAAAAGUUGCUCGGAUAAGCACAUCAAUACCUAAGACACCACUUGUUACACGGUGAAUUAUAUUUUGGACAGAAGGUAGAGAAAAAAAUGUGUGAAUGAUAUGAGGAGAACUGAAGCAUGGUCCUGACCCCGAUUUGUACAUAUGAACAAAUCGACCUUUGUGGGUUAUUUCAGUUUAUCAAUGUGAUAUUUGUAAUAAAGUGUGAAGUUAUGUAUUGAAAACAAAUUGGGUUAUUUAAUACUUAUGUGUUGACGCGGUUCUUCGCCAACAGGUAAUUAAGAGAAGAAGAGAAAGGGAUUAGUGCUGAAUAUAGAACCGUCGCAGAUAUAAAAUCUUAGAGAAUGAACUAGGUGACUCAAGACACGUUUUUAAGUGGUUCGAAGGUUAAAAUCCCUCUACUCCACUAGUCAAUAUUAUUGAUAUAUUCUGGGUAUUUGGUUACAAAGCCUAUAUCUCUUCAGAUACUAUUUUUCCCAACCCCUAUCAACUCCCAGGUUCUCCAUAUUUAUAGGAGAAGGCAUCUGGAAGUUGGUAAGGAGGUCAUCCCGUGACCUUAUUAUUUGUCAUAUCAACUCUGUGACAUUCAUGAUUAAUUCCUAAACCUGACACAUAAGUAUGGUCAAAUCGAUAGAUAAGGAGAUAAUGGGCCGCACGGCCCAACCCAGCCGUGGAUAUCUGAACACGCACAUUCCUGCUGCGUGUCCGAGAAGUCAGGGAGAUAUCGGACACGUGAUGUCAGAUAUAUGCACGUUUAUCUUGCGUGUGUUGACUUUAUAGAGGGUCAGAGCUCCAUACAUAGCUCGUGCCACGAGCUGCUCCCUUGACCCGACCUUUGGCCUUCGGAUUCCUUCACCCAGUCCUGGGAAACCUUGGCGAGUCCUCAGGGAUUGCUCGAGCUAAUAAGAUACGACCUCGAAACGGGAGCUCCGGUCUUGGGGAUGCCAAUGGGCUAAUCGUGAUUAGUCCGUAGCUCGGCCUGCUAAUCAGCCCGUGGGAAAACCAGGGCGUACAUUAUGUAUAAUAUG